rnacentral:sRNA from 1 species
CGGGGGUUCGAAUCCCUC